AAAAACUCCAGCUCUCCAUGCUGGCUGUGUGGCCAGCAUACCUCCUGCCUUUUCAACGAUUCCUCUGCCCUGGAUAGACAGCGGUGUCUCAUAACAGUUUGGAAACUACAAAAGUUUCCCUGGCAGGAUGAAUGAUUGACUCGGCAACAUGUUCUUGCCUUUUGGAGUUGCCCUCCAAUUUUUCCAGGCUUGAUUCUGUAAAUCAUUUCAUCUUGUAAAAAUACUGGGCUGUGAGCACGGAUGAUCUCAAAGGUUGACAACUUCUUUCCUCUGCCUAUGUUGCCAUCCAUGUCAUGGUUUGUGUCAAGACUCUAGGAGAAGUCUACCAUCAGCACCACAGCUACUGUGCACAAAUCCAGAAUGCCAGACUGAAGUCAGAAGGAAAGCAAUGCUUCAAUAGCAUGUGAACAGAGACACUCAGAAGGAAGGAAUACCAAGGAAGGGAAGAUGAGGCUCGUUGAAGGCAAAGAUACAAGCACCGUGAUAUGCUUUGGGUCCAUGUCCCUUGCAAAAUCUCAUGUGGAUUUGUAAUCCUCAGUGUUGGAGGAGGGGCCUGGUGGGAGGUGAUUGGAUCAAGAGGUAGAUUACCCCCUUGCUGUUCUCGUGAUAGUGAGUUCCCAUGAGAUCUGGAUCUUUAAGAGUGUGUAGCACCUUCCUGCCUCUCUUCUUCCUCCUGCUCAGGCCGUGUAAGAUGUGCCUGCUUCCCCUUCACCUUCCACCAUGAUUGUAAGUUUCCUGAG